GUUAUGUCUCUUUGAGGUCUCUUUGGAUUUUUGUCCUUACAUUGGAUCCUGUUUUAAAAUACCCCGUAAACUGGAUGAUCUUGUCACCCUGCACCUCGCCUUCAUAGUGAAGGACAUCAAAUUGAUUGGAAACAUCUGUUUUGGUCUGUCCCAAGUUGAUGGUGGCAGUUGCUUCUCUAAGGCCAUUGCUGAUGGCUUACCGCCCUGACAUUCCUUGACUGCUACAACUCUGAUGGCAGCUGUUGAUAUUUUUUUCAAAAACAUUAAUAAUCUUUUUAUUCUUAUUUUUUUUAUUUAAAGUUUAAGAAAGUUCAUCUUUGUAUGGUUUCCUUAAAUGUUGUAUUUGGUAUCAUUGCAUUGAAUUAUUGCAUUUAUUAUUGCAUUCUUGUUUUUACCACUAUUCUAAAUGUCGUUAUAAAUUAAAUGCACUGUUUUAUCAGUUUGUAUUUGUGUUAUGGUUGAAGUAAAUUCCUCGUGCAGUAUUUUAUAAUUCUAGAAUCUUAUGGGGUUUUUUCUUGGUUUUUGUCCUUUUCUAGUUGUCCAAUAAUUGUUUUAUUUACUUUGUAUAGCCUUGGGGGUGUAAUUCGUAUUUGCAUGCUCUAUCUUUGGUUUUAUGGUUAUGUAUAGCACUUUGUGUUAGAUUUGAUUGUAUGAAAAGCGCUCGAACAUUAAAUAAUUUUACAACAUAGUAAAGACCAGCUCCUUGCUGUGUUGUCCAGAUAUACAAAAUCCUCAAAUUCAAAUAGGGAUACUGUUUUUCGUUUAGAAGUAAAAGUUAAUUAUUUUAAUUUUAAAUGCUGUGAAAAAGUAUUUCCACCUCAUAGAUUUCCUGUUCAUCAAACAAAUAUCAUUAACCCCCUUUGUCAUAUUGUUCAGAAAUAUGGGAAAACGCAAAUAAAACAAAUAUUGAUAUAUUGGUUAGGCUACAAAAAAGAGCUGUUAGGCUCAUUUAUAAACUGGGAUAUCAGCUAAUAGACUUUUCAUUCAGAUUACUACUUCUAAAUGUAUUGAUAUUGUAUCUAUGAAAAUCCUGGAAAUAAUGUCUACAGCAUUGAACAAAAGUCUUCCUCCUGGAAUUCAGAAAUAAUUUAAGUUAAGAGGGAGUGAAUAUAAUUUAAAAGGUCUGUUAAUUUUUUUAAUGCGAAAGAGAGAAACCGAGUUAAAUCUAGAUGUGUUUCAGUCUGAAACACAUUAUUAUUAAUUAUUUAAAUGAUUUUAAAUUAUGUGCUUCUUUGGUGAGCUUUAAAAGAGCUUUAAAAUGCAAAAUUAUACUAUAGUUUAUACUGCUAUGUAGACAUAUAAAUUUAUAGUGUAAUCCUGUAUUUUUGUGUAUUUAGUGUGUGUAAGUGUAUGUAUGUGUGGGUAUACUUGCAUAAUCGAUAUGUAUAAUGUAUAUGUGUGUGUAUGUAGUUUUCUUUUUCAUAUACUGUUGAGUCUUUAGGUUUAUGAAUGGAGAAGGCUGAACAAAUAUAAGCCAUGGCUUUCACUUAUUCCUUUUUGGUAAAUUAUCAGUUUAUAGAAUGUAUAAUUCUGUUUUGUUUUGUUUUCCUUUUCUGUAAUGUUGUAAAUUUACCACAAAAAAUAAAUAAAUAAAGAAAGAA